UCAUCACCAAAAAAACGAACCUAGAGUCUCCAACUGUGAUCAGCUACCCAAGUAAGAGGAUAGCUCUGUAUUCUAAAACCUCAAUCAUAUUCCGGUCAGACUCAAACAAUGCGGAUCUCGAGGGAAACACAUGCACUGGACUUUACGACAGUGUGAUAAUAAUAUGAAGCGGAGGAAGUGGUGGUGUAUUACUCAAGGGAGCCACUUAUAGUGGACAAAGCCUUUCAAAUGCGCCUGUUCUCAACAAUUGCAGAAGCUGGAAAUGUGAUAGAGACGCUCUAUGGUUCUCCUCAAGACAUCGAAGGUGUUGUUAAAGGUGGCCAUUUUUACAUCGUCCAAGCUAGACCCCAAGUUUAAGCUAUCUCUUGCUAUUUCUGCGUCCCAUUCCCUAAGUUUUCAAACUAAUUACACUCAUGAUACAAACAUUGACUCAUAAUAAAUCAAUAUGUUGAAAAAUCACGAUUGUAUGGGGUUGUAUGUAACGUAAUCUUUAAAACAGCAUCGUAUAAAAGAGUAAUCAAAGAUUUUUCUUUUGA